rnacentral:rRNA from 1 species
AACGAACGCUGGCGGCAUGCCUAACACAUGCAAGUCGAACGAGACCUUCGGGUCUAGUGGCGCACGGGUGCGUAACGCGUGGGAAUCUGCCCCUUGGUUCGGAAUAACUUCGGGAAACUGAAGCUAAUACCGGAUAAUGACGUAAGUCCAAAGAUUUAUCGCCAAGGGAUGAGCCCGCGUAGGAUUAGCUAGUUGGUGGGGUAAAGGCUCACCAAGGCGACGAUCCUUAGCUGGUCUGAGAGGAUGAUCAGCCACACUGGGACUGAGACACGGCCCAGACUCCUACGGGAGGCAGCAGUGGGGAAUAUUGGACAAUGGGCGAAAGCCUGAUCCAGCAAUGCCGCGUGAGUGAUGAAGGCCUUAGGGUUGUAAAGCUCUUUUACCCGGGAAGAUAAUGACUGUACCGGGAGAAUAAGCCCCGGCUAACUCCGUGCCAGCAGCCGCGGU